AGUUUCCAGGUUUUGCGGGGUACAGCGGAGACAAGCUCUUCUUUCUUUCUGCGGGCAUUGGGAUGUGCCUGUACAUGCGCGACCUGAGUCACCGUUUUCCGGAACGAAGUUGGCAAUACAGCUCAGCACAGGAUAGGAUCAACUUUCCGCUUGGAAACAUGAAAGAAUUCAGCGACGCUUUCAAGUGCAAUGAGAGCGACUACAUGAAUUUCCUUGCCAAAAAUAAGUCGUGUUCUUACUGGUGAGAUAGCGCAACUUUCAAGCUCUCUUUCAAGUAAUAAAACAA